UAUCCGGGACGACCCGGAUAGCUUGCGGCCGUACCCGAGGACGACCUUG
rnacentral:ncRNA from 1 species